rnacentral:rRNA from 1 species
ACUGGGCGUAAAGCGCACGUAGGCGGCCAUUCAAGUCAGAGGUGAAAGCCCGGGGCUCAACCCCGGAACUGCCUUUGAAACUAGAUGGCUUGAAUCUUGGAGAGGCGAGUGGAAUUCCUGGUGUAGCGGUGGAAUGCGCAGAUAUCAGGAGGAACACCGGUGGCGAAGGCGGGUCUCUGGGCAGUAACUGACGCUGAGGAGCGAAAGCGUGGGGAGCGAACAGGAUUAGAUACCCUGGUAGUCCACGCCGUAAACGGUGGGUACUAGGUGUGGGUUUCCUUCCUUGGGAUCCGUGCCGUAGCUAACGCAUUAAGUACCCCGCCUGGGGAGUACGGCCGCAAGGCUAAAACUCAAAGAAAUUGACGGGGGCCCGCACAAGCGGCGGAGCAUGUGGAUUAAUUCGAUGCAACGCGAAGAACCUUACCUGGGUUUGACAUGCACAGGACGCCGGCAGAGAUGUCGGUUCCCUUGUGGCCUGUGUGCAGGUGGUGCAUGGCUGUCGUCAGCUCGUGUCGUGAGAUGUUGGGUUAAGUCCCGCAACGAGCGCAACCCUUGUCUCAUGUUGCCAGCGGGUAAUGCCGGGGACUCGUGAGAGACUGCCGGGGUCAACUCGGAGGAAGGUGGGGAUGACGUCAAGUCAUCAUGCCCCUUAUGUCCAGGGCUUCACACAUGCUACAAUGGCCGGUACAAAGGGCUGCGAUGCCGCGAGGUUAAGCGAAUCCUUUUAAAGCCGGUCUCAGUUCGGAUCGGGGUCUGCAACUCGACCCCGUGAAGUCGGAGUCGCUAGUAAUCGCAGAUCAGCAACGCU